rnacentral:rRNA from 1 species
CCUACGGGGGGCAGCAGUGGGGAAUAUUGCACAAUGGGCGCAAGCCUGAUGCAGCGACGCCGCGUGAGGGAUGACGGCCUUCGGGUUGUAAACCUCUUUCGCCAGGGACGAAGGGUGAUACUGACGGUACCUGGAGAAGAAGCACCGGCUAACUACGUGCCAGCAGCCGCGGUAAUACGUAGGGUGCGAGCGUUGUCCGGAAUUAUUGGGCGUAAAGAGCUCGUAGGCGGUGUGUCGCGUCUGCCGUGAAAACCUACAGCUUAACUGUGGGCGUGCGGUGGAUACGGGCAUCACUUGAGUUCGGCAGGGGAGACUGGAAUUCCUGGUGUAGCGGUGGAAUGCGCAGAUAUCAGGAGGAACACCGGUGGCGAAGGCGGGUCUCUGGGCCGAUACUGACGCUGAGGAGCGAAAGCGUGGGGAGCGAACAGGAU